rnacentral:rRNA from 1 species
CCGACGGUGAGGGGUGAAAGCUAGGGGAGCAAACAGGAUUAGAUACCCUGGUAGUCCUAGCGCCUAAACGAUCAGGACUUGGCGUGGCCCUGUACGUGCUCGUCCCGUAGCUAACGCGAUAAGUCCUGCGCCUGGGGAGUACGGUCGCAAGGCCGAAACUCAAAGGAAUUGACAGGGGCCCGCACAAGCGGUGGAACAUGUGGUUCAAUUCGACGCAACGCGAAGAACCUUACCUGGUGCUUGAAGUGCACCGGACCAUCCUUGGAAACAGGGACUUCCCGCAAGGGACUGGUGUAGAGGUGCUGCAUGGCUGUCGUCAGCUCGUGCCGUGAGGUGUUGGGUUAAGUCCCGCAACGAGCGCGACCCUUACUCGUAGUUGCCACCCGCAAGGGGGAACUCUACGAGUGACUGCUCCGGAUAACGGAGAGGAAGGUGGGGAUGAGGUCAAGUCAGCAUGGCCUUUAUGUCCAGGGCUACACACGUGUUACAAUGCGCGCUACAAAGCGUCGCGAACCCGCGAGGGGGAGCUAAUCGCAAAAAAGCGCGCUCAGUUCGGAUUGCAGUCUGCAACUCGACUGCAUGAAGCCGGAAUCGCUAGUAAUGGCGCAUCAGAACGGCGCCGUGAAUACGUUCCCGGGCCUUGCACACACC